rnacentral:lncRNA from 1 species
GAGCCAAACUACGGUGAGAGUGUGAAGAUGGCAGCUGCGGACGAGCCCAAGCCCAAAAAGCUCAAGGUGGAAGCGCCACAAGCGCUGAGAUUAUCUGGGUCAGUGAGAUGGCUCAGCAGAUAAGGGCAUUUGCUGCCAAGUCGGAUGACCUGAGUUCAGUCAGACUCCAGGACACACGUGGUGGACGGAGUGAACCUAUUCUGUUCUUCUGUUGUCCUCUGGCCCCGCCCACUGAAUAAACGCAUACUGUCUCC